CAGACGACCGUUCUCUGUGUCGUGGUGCGGCGCCGGCGGGGUGGGUGGGCGGUCGGUCGGUCGGGAGUGUUUCUGAACUGGACAAGGACGCUGGCGGAGCCGGAGAAGCGGAGGUGGCGGAGAAGGCGCUAGGGGAAGGCGGGCGGCAGAAGGCAGGCGUCGGGGUCGUGGCCGAAGGGGGACGACCAAUGGCGAGAGGAGAGGCCAGCUAGCCAGCCCCCAUGCAGGGCCGCGGCAGCGCCGAAGACGAGAGGCGUGGUGUCUAGUAUAUGAUACCUUUGAGAUGCACUGUACCGAGACGGUGGUCCUAAACCUAAGGUAGGGUUCCUGUGACUUGAGCAAAGAGUGAUAGACUUUUUCUUUUAUGAGCCAGUCUUUUAACUUAUACUGUAAUAUGGACUCCACCUAUAUAUGUUCGUACUUGGUACCCUAAAUGGACGUUUCACGUUACAAGGUUGGGUCCUAUUGUUCACCGUAAAGAAACGACGAGCUCUGUCUUUCAUAGGAUUACCACGAGCCAGUUUAUCCCGUUGCCAACGACCCAUAACCUUCAGAUGACCUUUUCUGGCCCGAUAAUUCCACCUAUUCGCCUGGUAUCCUUGUUUCUUUUGAAAUCAAAAAGUACUUCCAGCCGGAGGGUGACCUUUUGCAUGACUCACCUAAUACGUACUUAUGAUGUAUCUACUCUUGCUUACAGUUCGGACGGGACUAUACUUCCUACGGAAACAAGAUACAUUUCAAUGAUUUUCUUAACUGACCUGUAGUCUCUUACCAUUGCUCCACCCGUUAUUAUUGGGAGUCGGUGUUGUUCGUUUACAACGACGAUAAAAUCGACAGUCACAACUUGUUGGUCUAUGACGACGUAGUAGUUAAUAACCACUACUUGAAGGUUCACUACGACGAUGGCAUCUAUAGGGACGAGUGUGUUGAGGUCUACCCUUACUACUGGAAUUUCUUACCGACCUUCUUGACGAACUAUGCAGGAAACUAGGAAGACGAUUGUGACGUCACCUAAGACAAAGACGAGUUGACAGAGGCCUACUUGUUUUACGACUUAGUAGCUUGUAACCACGAUACCGAGGCUUUCACCUUGACCUGAUACGGUCGGGAUUGGUCUGACACCAUCUGCUAUGUCUGAAGGACAACGGUCUACUAUAAGUGAGGUACAACAUAGGACCAUCACUACUGAAGUGAAGUACCGUCGUUUGUAUGAAAUGCCGCCGCCUAGGGAAGUCAGACAGUUUGUUGAAGUACCUACUUAAAGUCUACUUUCUCGAUGUCAAUGGAGACCUUUUAUUACCCGGAUUAGACAUACUUGGACGACUAUGACCUUAACAUCACGCUUGUGCAGUACCCCCUUGUAGACGUCGAUCGCAAGGUGGUAUGUUCCGAGCUGAAGUCGUUUCAGAACCGUCCUACCAAUGCUCGUCGAGACUUAGGUAGUUGGUCUGAUAGUUCAAGCAACUGUUGUUGCCAGUAGAACUAGAGUACUGAUUACACUUUGUGGUCUUCUUUGUACACGCACUAUAACGAAGACGGUCCGUCAGACUACGUCUCUUCACACCUUCAGUGUUGUUGGUUCCUAAAGAGUCCCCGCAGGUUUCCCGUAAAUCUCCGACAAGUCGUUGUCCUGAGUUAUAUGAGCAACGAGAAACGUACCAACCUCAACGACGUCGUUAUGACGUGGUACCUGCAGUGGCACCACCCUAGUCAAACAUCAUCUCCCCCUAGUCUUCGCACGGAUCAAAAUCGACAUGUUUAGACAUCGUAGAUGCGUGACAUUAGAACUGUCAUCCGUGACACUAACUUCACCUACUCGCUAGCUCGUACACCGGAAGACCUCCAUGAACAGCAAUGUGCAUUACACACGAGACCACGUCCUGUAACUAAGGGAAUAUAGACCAAAGACGUACCACAAACAUGUAUACUUCGGGAACGAAAAACUAGUCAGACCGAUCAUAAUACCACUACCUACUCACGGUUUGUCUUUUCUUGUUUUUGUAUCCCUUAUUAUCGACACUAUUCAAGAGAGCAAUGACGUACGAUCUAAACAUUGAGACUUGGUAUCAAUUGUCGAACAUCAUCCCAGUAGAAAAAGUAAGCUCAACUUGGUUCCUAUGAAUACAUUUCAUCGCUCAUUAUUAGUAGUAGAGUGAUACCUAAUGUCGUAAUAACCUAAUGUCAUAGCGACAGUAAACUUCGCUACUGGACAAACGAACU
rnacentral:rRNA from 1 species